UACGGAGGGUGCAAGCGUUAUCCGGAUUCACUGGGUUUAAAGGGUGCGUAGGCGGGUUGGUAAGUCAGUGGUGAAAUCUCCGGGCUUAACUCGGAAACUGCCAUUGAUACUAUCAGUCUUGAAUCUCGUGGAGGUAAGCGGAAUAUGUCAUGUAGCGGUGAAAUGCUUAGAUAUGACAUAGAACACCGAUUGCGAAGGCAGCUUGCUACACGAGUAUUGACGCUGAGGCACGAAAGCGUGGGGAUCAAAC
rnacentral:rRNA from 1 species